UACGGGGGGGGCAAGCGUUGUUCGGAAUUACUGGGCGUAAAGGGCGCGUAGGCGGCCUGCUAAGUCGGACGUGAAAUCCCUCGGCUCAACCGGGGAACUGCGUCCGAUACUGGUGGGCUCGAAUCCGGGAGAGGGAUGUGGAAUUCCAGGUGUAGCGGUGAAAUGCGUAGAUAUUGGGAGGAACACCAGUGGCGAAGGCGGUCCCCUGGGCCGGAACUGACGCUGAGGCGCGAAAGCGUGGGUAGCAAACGGG
rnacentral:rRNA from 1 species